UGCGUUAACUUCUUCAUGGGUGCUUCGUGUACUCUGGUGAUACCUUUUCCGAUCCAUAAUAAGUGCCCGACAUUUAAUAUUAUUAUGAAACAGAGGGAGUAAAAAUUCUCUUUUAGAAUCAGAGAGGAACACAAGUAUCUGAGAGCAAGAUAGGAAAACUAAUAGGAGGAGAAGACUAAAAACAAUCCGGAUGGAUUGAUGAU
rnacentral:lncRNA from 1 species